GGAGGAGAACACCAGACACCUGCUGUUCAGACAGAAACACUUAUCCGUCCACGACAUCCAAGAGGUCGAUGUCACGUGAUGAAGCUGAGAGUCCUGAGGUUCAAGGAGGGACUGUGAAACUGAUGAUCUGCAGCCUCGUCAUGACACAAACACUUCCUGUCGGGUAUUGAAGUAGUACUUCUGUACAGUCAGAGUAUUACCUGCUGUGGACAGGGUUUUGUCCCAGCCCGGCUCAGAGGGAGGACAAAGAGGAGAGGACAGCACAGGAAUUCUUACUAAAGAUUUAUUUAACAAAAUGUAAAUUAACCUCUGGAUCUAAUAAGCAUGUUAAUCAGUAACCUCAGCAGCCUGUUGUGUGUCUGUAUGUGUGCACAGUGAAGUGUGGCGAAAAAAUACACAAGGAGAAACCGAACCCAGACAGCAGGCCAUCGACCCAGAGAGACUGGACCCAGCAACUUAUAGCUCAGCAGCAGCAGAUGGUGAUCAGUAACUGUAGCUGUGUAGAAAUGCAGUCCCAUAGACCUGAGAAACAUGGACCUGAGAAACACGGACCCGAGGACCAUGGACCUGAGGACCACUGUGAUGGCCCCUCUGCAGGGUUCAUACUGUUGUUGGUGUGCUGUCUGUCUCCAGGGCUGCAGACCUGAUUGGCAGAGUAAUCAGUGGCGUGGGACACACCUGGGCCCUGGUGUGCCCCAUGCAUAUAAGCCAGAACAGCAGUCAGUCUGGGUUGGACCUCUUCAUCUCACGGCUUCCUUUGUUUGUUUGGUUUCUUGUCUUUGUUUUCACAGCACAACAUCCAUGCAGCACAUUUUCACUCAUCCACUCCCUACACUACUGACACUACAGAUUCUUCCCACUCACUGGUUUCACUUAUUUUCUUAUUAAUAAAUCACUUUGUUAUUUAGUUUACCCUUGUGUCUCCCGUUUUUGUUACAGUCAAACAUGGACUUGACGACCACAGACCUGAGGUCUUCAGGAAUGUGUUUCAACUGGUUGUAAUAGUUCAUGUCAGUUGGUAUCGGCUGUGUUUCACGCUGUCCAGCUGACCUGCGGCCUCAGCUCAUGAAGUCUUUUGUCCACAGCAGGGACUCGCUCUGCUUCCCGGCCUGGACUCAGACUCUGACUGUGGAUAAGGACCUCGUACAGCCCCUCUUCAAAACACCCAAACUCUCCCUUCAGUGUCCUCUGACUCUUAAAUUUCUGUCCAGCUCAUCUAUAAUUGAAAGAAACAUAAUGAAUUACAGGUUUUUAAUAAUGACCAUCUCUGCAAACUAAACAGUCAGUGUGAGCUCCAGGACUGUGAUGAGGAGGAGGACUCAGGAAGGAUGCUCGUCUUGGUUAAAUAUUAACCACUUGGCGUCUCGUGGAGAUUUCAGGUGUGCAGGAGUCGGUUCACCUGCUGCCAGUCAUCUUCCCUCCGCUCUGCUUCAGAGACCUGGUUCCUGUCUCAACACUCCAGAUCGUAGCCUGAGCCAGGUGUCAGUUUCGGUCCAGGGAAGUUUGUUCUGCCUUGUGUAUCUGACACCUGAACCCGACAGCCUCCUUGUCCGGACCUGACUCCUGCCUCGCUGCAUUUGUGUUUUCACCUACAACAGUUUUAACACAAUAUGUGGCUUUUUAGACCAGAUUUGAUUCAAUAAAACAAUAAGGAGCACUAAAACUGUUUCCUUUCAACCAGCUCAGGGCUUUGUCUGUAAUUCAGUGUGACUAAUAUGUAAAAACUGCAUUUCAGUUUAAUGAGUUAUCUUUUAAAUAAACCUUCAUGGAGACACA